rnacentral:rRNA from 1 species
UAUACCUUACUGUUGCCUCGGCGCAUGCCGGUCCCCCCUGGGGGCCCCUCCUUCUGGAGGAGCAGGCACGCCGGCGGCCAACCUAACUCUUGUUUUUACACUGAAACUCUGAGAAUAAAACAUAAAUGAAUCAAAACUUUCAACAACGGAUCUCUUGGUUCUGGCAUCGAUGAAGAACGCAGCGAAAUGCGAUAAGUAAUGUGAAUUGCAGAAUUCAGUGAAUCAUCGAAUCUUUGAACGCACAUUGCGCCCUCUGGUAUUCCGGAGGGCAUGCCUGUUCGAGCGUCAUUUCAACCCUCAAGCCUGGCUUGGUGAUGGGGCACUGCCUGUAAAAGGGCAGGCCCUGAAAUUCAGUGGCGAGCUCGCCAGGACCCCGAGCGCAGUAGUUAAACCCUCGCUCUGGAAGGCCCUGGCGGUGCCCUGCCGUUAAACCCCCAACUUCUGAAAAUUUGACCUCGGAUCAGGUAGGAAUACCCGCUGAACUUAA